UACGUAGGGGCCGAGCGUUGUCCGGAGUUAUUGGGCGUAAAGCGCGCGCAGGCGGCUUCGCGCGUCCGACGUGAAAGCCCCCGGCUUAACCGGGGAGGGUCGUUGGGUACGGCGGAGCUUGAGGGCGGGAGAGGGUGGUGGAAUUCCCGGUGUAGUGGUGAAAUGCGUAGAGAUCGGGAGGAACACCUGUGGCGAAGGCAGCCACCUGGGCCGACCCUGACGCUGAGGCGCGAAGGCGUGGGGAGCGAACGGG
rnacentral:rRNA from 1 species